UAGUUGAGUUGAGUUGAGUUGAAAAGCCGGAUUCUUCAUCAAUCCAUCCUCAAUUCCCAUACAUCUAGGAGAGAAUAAAAUCAUAUGUUUUAGCUCUAAGGGCCAUAUUUAUUUCUACAAGUGUAAGUAUCUCGAGGAAGGCUUGCAUGCAUAUGCAAAAGCCUUUAUUAUAUUCCUGAUAUUUCAAACCAUGGUUGUCAAAUUAAUAUUCGAAUUGAGAAUCAAAAUCUUUAUUCUGUGAAUCGAGAAUCGAAUCAAAUCGUAAGAUUCAAUAAAAAUUCUCAA
rnacentral:misc_RNA from 1 species